AUUGAACGCUGGCGGCAGGCUUAACACAUGCAAGUCGAGCGGGGUGAAGGUAGCUUGCUACCGGACCUAGCGGCGGACGGGUGAGUAAUGCUUAGGAAUCUGCCUAUUAGUGGGGGACAACAUCUCGAAAGGGAUGCUAAUACCGCAUACGUCCUACGGGAGAAAGCAGGGGAUCUUCGGACCUUGCGCUAAUAGAUGAGCCUAAGUCGGAUUAGCUAGUUGGUGGGGUAAAGGCCUACCAAGGCGACGAUCUGUAGCGGGUCUGAGAGGAUGACCCGCCACACUGGGACUGAGACACGGCCCAGACUCCUACGGGAGGCAGCAGUGGGGAAUAUUGGACAAUGGGGGGAACCCUGAUCCAGCCAUGCCGCGUGUGUGAAGAAGGCCUUAUGGUUGUAAAGCACUUUAAGCGAGGAGGAGGCUACUGAGACUAAUACUCUUGGAUAGUGGACGUUACUCGCAGAAUAAGCACCGGCUAACUCUGUGCCAGCCGCCGCAGUAA
rnacentral:rRNA from 1 species